AGUCGAUCAGGUCGAUGUACGGACGCACCUUCUCCUCAUACUGCUCACUCAGGCUCGCGCUCAUCUCUGACAGCUGAGAAACUCUGCAAACUAUAGUGACAAGAUGUCCGCUUGAGCUCAAGAUGAAGAAGAGCAGGAGGGAACACUUCUGGAAGGGAAAGAUCAAGUAUGAUGAUUAUGAGGAAGAGAUUGGCGAUCCAGAAGAUGUGGAGCAAAUGAUUAGAAAAGCUCAGAAUGAAAUAGCUGGGACCGGCAUGGGCAUCAGUGACAAGCUCAUCAGCCUGGAGGUGACAUCGACUAAUGCUCCUGACCUCAUGCUCAUCGAUCUGCCUCGUAUUACCCGUGUAGCAGCCAGAGACCAACCGGAGGACAUUGGAGAACAAAGUAAGAGGCUGAUCCAAAAGUUCACUGCAAAAAGCAAGACACCAUCAACCUGGUGGUAGUGCCAUGUAACGUGGACAUCGCCACUAUUUAAGCGCUGAAGAUGGCUCAGGAAAUUGAUCCAAAUGGGUCGCGGGGAACUUGGAGCAUAUUCCAGGGAGCAUCGGGCACAAGGCAGGGUACACCCUGGACAGGGUGCCAAUCCAUCGCAGGGCACAAUCACAUACGCAAACGCCCACACCCAUUCAUACACUACGGACACUUUAGACAUGCCAAUCAGCCUACCAUGCAUGUCUUUGGACUGGGGGAGGAAACCAGAAUACCCUGAGGAACCCCCCGCAGCACAGGGAAAACAUGCAAACUCUGCACACACAGGGCCACGGAAAUCGAACCCCAGACCCUGGAGGUGUGAGGCAAACGUGCUAACCAACAAGCCACCAUGCGCCCCCAACUUAUACCAAUAUUAUGAAACAUUGCUAAAAUAUACCUAGUUUUAGUGAAGUAUUAGUGAAUGAUAAUGCUUUUUUUAUUUGGAAAAUAUUUGAAAAAUAUGAAUGGUUUCUGAAUGGUUAUAAGUUCUCCAAAUCAAGCUGGACAUUAUGUACCAUCUUUAAAAAAAAAAAAUUUUAAACAACAACAAACAACAAUCAAUAGCUUCUAAAUGAAGAAUAUAGCUCCAAAAACUAUUAUUGGAAUAUUCGAUUCAUGUGUCAAACAUGAGUACAGCUAAAUGGUCUCAUUUAUCCAUACACAUCACUGCGGAAAAACUGUGCAGUACAAUUUUAGUUUCUAUUAACCCUUGUGUUUUGUUGACAUUACCUUAACUGUCUUGUUAUUUGGGGUCCCAGAGACCCCAGUGUUGAAUUAUUAUUAUUAUCUUUUAAAUGAGCUCAAAAUAAAAAGAUUUUUUCUUCCAAAUAUUUGUAUAUAUUACCAGAGAUUACCAGAGAAACACUGUUCAGUGAAAAUAAUUGUAUUAUUCACCCUCUUUUCUAACAAGAAACUGGGCUUGCAAUUUUCAAAAGGUGAACAUUGAUUCAUUGACGUAUCAGGAAAUCCUUGGAGAAAAUGUCAUACCAUCUGUGUGGAAGUUGAUGCUUGGGCAUCAUUGAACCUUCCAACACUAAGCAUACCUCAAAUUCCACCAAGGGUUGGUUGCAGAAGAAGUCCUGGAAGAUUCUACAUGGCCAUCACAGUCACCUGACUUGAACCCCAUAGAAAGUCUCUAGUGGGAUUUGAAGAAGGCGGUUGAAGCACGCAAACCCAAGAAUAUUACUGAACUGGAAGCCAUUGCUCAUGAGGAAUGGGUUAAGAUUCCUCAGGAACGCUGCCAGAAGCUCUGCAUCUCAUUUGCACCAGGUCAUAACAGCAAAAGGGUGCGCUACUAAGUACUAAAGAUGCUUGCCAUGAAGGGGUUGAAUAAUUUUGAAACUAGACAAAUCAUUAUAAGUAGCAUUUUCAGUUGAAUUUGGGGGAACCACUUGAAGCAUUCGUUGUGUUGAACUAUUUCAGUUAUUUUUGUUUGAUUUGUUCAUUGCAAACAGCUGAAAUUUUGACAAUAAACCUGAUUUGCUAUGGGGGUUGAAUCAUUUUGAUUGCAAAGGAAUUUUCUGUCUUUUCCAUGAAGUGUGGGUGUUUAAAAUCUGAAUAAAGAUGUUUAUUUGUUUAUUAGAAAAUCACAGCGUUUAUUCGGGACA